CAGUAUGCCUGUUAUUUGAGUGGACUCUUCUUGGACCAUUUGCUUGGAUGAACAGUGGGCAGAAGUGGAAAGGAAGGGUGCUCUGGACAAAGGUGACAAAGCCCAGGAACAAAAGUCGGAAGGUGCACAGUGUGCCCAGAGGGCCAGGAAUUGGGUGGAGUGACUGGCUCCUUGGUCGCUUGCAAGUAGCAUGAGAAUAGAGAGGGCUGGGAGAUGCAUUAAAAAGCACCAGGACAAAUUUAGGUUUGCACAGAAAAGGACGUUUCGUCAGGGUACGUGAGGAAAGUUGAGUAGAGAAUUUAGGAAUGGAGCAGACGACUCUGGUUGGGAUGAUGAGAGCGGAGAGACAGAUCCAUGUUCUUUCCAGGUGCCCCAGCAGCUCCAGGUCUCGCUGAACCUGUUACUAUGGCAGCGUCUAUGCUUCACUUUUGAGGAUUGCUUCUGCUUUGAAAUAGCCGUGUGGAAGAAAAACUACAAAGUUUUGAGGGGGAAAAAACCCACCUAACUUUAGCUGCCGUUGUGUCUUCAUCUGUAAAAAUCUUCUUCAUGUCUCAUGGAUUUCAACAUGCAGUUUAUCUUGGUUUGUUCCAUAAAACAUCAGAUGCAACUUUAAUGGCCUAACCCCAAAAAGAUAACUUGGCAGCCAUCAAGCAUUCAGCAGCGUUCCAAAUGCCCUCUUGCUGGAGCCAGCCUUCUACGGGGCCAUGUGGAUGUCAGGCACACACAAUUUGAGUCACGCUGACAUAGCUGGGAUGCCUGGAUUGCACUGGAAUCUGGGGGGUACCAAUCACAGGCCAGAGAGAAGCCAUUGGCUGGAAGGAACAAUGCCAGCGUGUUCACCGUCUCUGCAGAAGGAGGGGGUGUUGAUGGUGAGGGGAAUGACAGUUGCAGCCAAAGGAGCAAAAUGACCCCAAAGCAGGGUGGGCACAUGUCAUUGAUGCUGGGCAGAAGCACUCCAGGGGCUCAGGUCAUGACCACACCCCUUUUCUCCUGCCCCACAACCAGAAAAACUAAGAAGGUACAAGAUUUUCCCUAAAACUUAAUGUACAGAAUGCCCUGCUGUCUUCAGGUUUUUGGGAAAUCCAGGGUUGACAACAACAGCCCAAAUAUAUGAAGCACUUACCUCUACCAGGCACUGUCUGUAUCUUACAAAUAAUUCGUUUAAUUCUCACAACUCCUUAAUGAGGUAAGUUUUACAAUUUCCAUUUUAUGAUGAGGGAAACUGAGGCUUAGAAAGAUUAAGAAACUUGCCCAAAUCCUGCAGCCAGAAAUGGGCAGAAUCAAGACAUGAACCACAGUCUCUCAAAAGCCAAAGCCUGGGCACUCACUACUACCCUCAACAGCCCGGUGGCUGGUUCAUGCCAUCUCUGCCACCCUCACACAGCCACCUCUUGGAUGGUAGAACCCUGUGUGUUGAACAAGUAGAGUAACAUUCUAAAAGGAUUCUUUUUCCUCCCCUGUUUUCCUGGGGGCUGAGUAGACAUGUUUAAACAUGCUGUUCAUCUGACACUUGUUUACUUCAGUGGCUAUGAUGUGCAAGACCCCAGACCAGGAACAGUAAGAGGGCAUGAGGAUAACCCAGCGUGGAGACCACUCUGGAGGAGGCUGCAGACUGGAGGCGCUGUUGUAGCCAGCUGCAUUUUGGAGGCUGGGUUGCCUGUCUUAGAUCUCUAAUGAGUUUGGUCAUUAUUUUUUCAGCCAGGGUUUUCUUCCUCCCUCCCUGUCUUCCUUCCCUUUCUCCUUCCUUCCUUCAUUCCUUCCUUCCUUUCUUCCUUCCUUCUUUCCUCCCUCCCUCCCUCCCUCCCUCCCUUCCUUUCUCUCUUUCCUUCUAUCUUUUAUUUUCUCUCUUUCUCUGUCUCUCUCUUUCUCUCUUUCUUCCUCCCUCCCUCCCUUUCUCUCCUUCUUUCUUUCUCCCUCCCUCCUCUCCUCCCUCUCUUGGUCUCUCUCUCUCUCCCUUCCUUCCUUUGUUCUUUCAAGAUUUUUCUUUCUUUCUUUCUUUCUUUUAAAGGUGUAAGCCUUUUUCUGGUUCACUACAUGCCAAGGACUGCGCUAAAUCAUUCACAUAAAACCACCAGCGUGCAUCACCUCAUUUGGUCCUCCCACAGUCUAACGGCAGAGUCUCACUCUGUUGCCCAGGCUGGAGUGCAGCAGCAUGAUCUCGGCUCACAGUAACCUCUGCCUCCGUGGUUCAAGCAAUUCUCCUGCCUCAGCUUCCCGAGUAGCUGGGAUUACAGGCGUGCACCACGACGCCUGCCUAAUUUUUGUAUUUUUGUAGAGACGGGGUUUCACCAUGUUGGCCAGGCUGGUCUGGAACUCCUGACCCCAAGUGAUCUGCCUGCCUCAGCCUCCCAAAGUGCUGGGAUUACAGGUGUGAUCCACCAUGCCCGGCCAUGUUCCGAGUCCUUAAGGUAACAAGGAGAAAUGUGAGAAGCCCAUUUGGGAAUGAAGGAUGCAGGAAAGCCCUGUAACUGAGGCAGCCAAUCAGAAGCUUUCAUUAACGGCCCUCUUUCUUUUGUCCCCCACUUCCAGAAGAAUCUACCAUAAAACCAACAGACUCCUCCUGAUCUCUACCUGUGCUGUCUGCCUCUCUAGUUCCGGACACUGAGAGCUGGUGCCCUGUGGCCACCUCAAGCUGGAACCCUGCAAGAUCACCAAGAAGACUGCAUGCCUCGCUCUAGCCUUCCUAAGGGAAAGUAGACUCCUGUUUUUGAGAGAAAUUACCUGAUUUCAAGAGAAACAUAAAGGACUUUUUUUCCCUUAACAUUCCACUCGUAAAAAUGAAGUUUGGAAGAACUUCUGCAAACUCUGAGUGUUUUGGUCAAUUGACCUUUUACUGUACUAAGCAAAUCUGAAGCCACAAAUACAUUGGGGAGGAAGGUAUACCCUUCACAAAAGAUCCGUCACUUAGCCAGAUACUCUGUUGCCAUGCUUCUUUAAAUAAAGCACAUUUCUGGUAUAUUU
rnacentral:lncRNA from 1 species